rnacentral:rRNA from 1 species
AGUGAACGCUGGCGGUAGGCCUAACACAUGCAAGUCGAACGGCAGCACAGUAAGAGCUUGCUCUUACGGGUGGCGAGUGGCGGACGGGUGAGGAAUACAUCGGAAUCUACUUUUUCGUGGGGGAUAACGUAGGGAAACUUACGCUAAUACCGCAUACGACCUACGGGUGAAAGCAGGGGAUCUUCGGACCUUGCGCGAUUGAAUGAGCCGAUGUCGGAUUAGCUAGUUGGCGGGGUAAAGGCCCACCAAGGCGACGAUCCGUAGCUGGUCUGAGAGGAUGAUCAGCAACAAGGGAACUAAAAAGCGGUAAAGACUCAUAAGGGAGGCAGCAGUGGGGAAUAUGGGACAAAGGGCGCAAGCCUGAUCCAGCCAUACCGAGUGGGUGAAGAAGGCCUUCGGGUUGUAAAGCCCUUUUGUUGGGAAAGAAAAGCAGCAGGUUAAUACCCCGCUGUUCUGAAGGUACCCAAAGAAUAAGCACCGGCUAACUUCGUG